rnacentral:rRNA from 1 species
GACGAACGCUGGCGGCGUGCUUAACACAUGCAAGUCGAACGGCAGCACAGUGUGUAGCAAUACACAUGGGUGGCGAGUGGCGGACGGGUGAGGAAUACAUAGGAAUCUGCCUUGUAGUGGGGGAUAGUCCGGGGAAACCCGGUUUAAUACCGCAUACGAUCUAAGGAUGAAAGCGGGGGCUCGUAAGACCUCGCGCUAUUGGAGGAGCCUAUGUCGGAUUAGCUAGUUGGNGAGGUAAAGGCUCACCAAGGCGACGAUCCGUAGCUGGUCUGAGAGGACGACCAGCCACACCGGAACUGAGACAC